AUUGAACGCUGGCGGCAGGCCUAACACAUGCAAGUCGAGCGGAUGAAGGGAGCUUGCUCCUGGAUUCAGCGGCGGAUGGGUGAGUAAUGCCUAGGAAUCUGCCCGGUAGUGGGGGAUAACGUCCGGAAACGGGCGCUAAUACCGCAUACGUCCUGAGGGAGAAAGUGGGGGAUCUUCGGACCUCACGCUAUCAGAUGAGCCUAGGUCGGAUUAGCUAGUUGGUGGGGUAAAGGCCUACCAAGGCGACGAUCCGUAACUGGUCUGAGAGGAUGAUCAGUCACACUGGAACUGAGACACGGUCCAGACUCCUACGGGAGGCAGCAGUGGGGAAUAUUGGACAAUGGGCGAAAGCCUGAUCCAGCCAUGCCGCGUGUGUGAAGAAGGUCUUCGGAUUGUAAAGCACUUUAAGUUGGGAGGAAGGGCAGUAAGUUAAUACCUUGCUGUUUUGACGUUACCAACAGAAUAAGCACCGGCUAACUUCGUG
rnacentral:rRNA from 1 species